rnacentral:rRNA from 1 species
UACGUAGGGACCGAGCGUUGUCCGGAUUCAUUGGGCGUAAAGAGCUCGUAGGCGGCUGCUCAAGUCGAAUGUGAAAACUCGAGGCUCAACCUCGAGCCUGCAUUCGAUACUGGGCGGCUAGAGUCUGGUAGGGGGAUCUGAAUUCCUAGUGUAGCGGUGAAAUGCGUAGAUAUUGGGAGGAACACCUGCGGCGAAGGCGGCCUUCUGGACGAUGACUGACGCUGAGACGCGAAAGCGUGGGGAGCAAACAGG